rnacentral:tRNA from 1 species
GGUUGUGGCUCAGGGGUAAAGCACUCAGCUAGCAUGUGUGAGACUCUGGGUUCAAUCCUCAGCACCA